AAAAAGACAAACCCUGAGUUUCCGUAUCCAACAUAAAUAUUAAUUUUUUUACGAUUAAUAUUUUUAUUGUUAUUAUAUGAUAAAACAUAAAUAGUACUUUAUGUGUGACUAACUUUUUUUUAAUUUUCUCAUAAAUUUUUCAAAUAAGACGGACGGUCAAACGUUGGACACGGAUUUCCACGGCUGCACUUAUU
rfam:Oryza nivara chromosome 7, whole genome shotgun sequence.